rnacentral:rRNA from 1 species
AAUGAACGCUGGCGGUAGGCCUAACACAUGCAAGUCGAACGGCAGCACAGUAAGAGUGUGCCUUUACGGUUGGCGACUGGCGGACGGGUGAGGAGUACAUCGGAAUCUAAUUUUUCGUGGGGGAUUACGUAGAGAAACUUAUGCUACUACCGCAUACGAUCUACGGGUGAAAGCAGGAGAUCUUCUGACCUUUCGCGAUUCAUUGAGAUGAUGUCGGAUUAGCUAGUUGGCAGGGUAAGGUCCCACCAAGGCGACGAUGCGUAGCUGGUCUGAGCGGAUGAUCGGCCACACUGGAACUGAGACACGGUCCAGACUCCUACGGGAGGCAGCAGUGGGGAAUAUUGGACAAUGGGCGCAAGCCUGAUGCAGCCAUACCGCGUGGGUGAAGAAGGCCUUCGGGUUGUAAAACCCUUUUGUUGGGAAAGAAAAGCAGUAGGUGUAACCCUCGCUGUUCUGACGGUACCCAAAGAAUAAGCACCGGCUAACUUCGUG